UGGGAACGUACCUUUUGGUUCGGAACAACCCAGGGAAACUUGGGCUAAUACCGGAUAAGUCCGUAAGGAGAAAGAUUUAUCGCCAAAAGAUCGGCCCGCGUCUGAUUAGCUAGUUGGUGAAGUAACGGCUCACCAAGGCGACGAUCAGUAGCUGGUCUGAGAGGGUGACCGGCCACACUGGGACUGAGACACGGCCCAGACUCCUACGGGAGGCAG
rnacentral:rRNA from 1 species